UACGAAGGGGGCUAGCGUUGCUCGGAAUCACUGGGCGUAAAGCGCACGUAGGCGGAUUGCUAAGUCAGGGGUGAAAUCCUGGAGCUCAACUCCAGAACUGCCUUUGAUACUGGCAACUUUGAGUCCGGGAGAGGUGAGUGGAACUCCGAGUGUAGAGGUGAAAUUCGUAGAUAUUCGGAAGAACACCAGUGGCGAAGGCGGCUCACUGGCCCGGUACUGACGCUCAGGUGCGAAAGCGUGGGGAGCAAACAGG
rnacentral:rRNA from 1 species